UACAGGGGUCCCGAGCGUUGUUCGGAAUUACUGGGCGUAAAGGGUGCGUAGGCGGUGGGGUAAGUUUGAGGUGAAAGCUCCGGGCUCAACCCGGAAACUGCCUUGAAAACUAUCCGGCUAGAGGGUUGGAGGGGAGACUGGAAUUCUCGGUGUAGAGGUGAAAUUCGUAGAUAUCGAGAGGAACACCGGUGGCGAAGGCGGCUUCCUGGACAGUUACUGACGCUGAGACGCGAACGCGUGGGGAGCAAACAGG
rnacentral:rRNA from 1 species